AGUCAGAUCGAGGGUCUGGGAGGGCUGCAGGGAUCUCUCAGUCGCCAAUGGUUGCAGACAAUCCAGUAAGCCACAGCUGUUACUUGCUGCACUGAACCCUGCCUGCGCUGAGUACCGAAAGCAGGAGGGAAGGUAGCCACAUCUCUUGAGCCCGGCGCUGUCCUAAGCUCCUGACAUCCCCACAGGCCUGAGAAAGGGGCACCACAAACAGGAACCAGGCUGAGACUGAGCCUGUGGACCCUGGUAGCAAGGGCGCCCUCUCUCUAAGAAGCCCUCUGUCAUGCUACCGAUGUUGCAGAACACCUGGGGCGGAGUAGGGAGUGCCAAAGCGCAGGGGAUGAGUGCACAGCAGGGAGACUUCUAUGGUCUGCAGGUGAGCUGAAGGCAGGCCCCUGAGGAGGUGGACAUUUAGGCUGAAUGGAGGACAGGGAGGUAGCAGGACCUGCUGUCUCCAGGACCCCUAAGUUUCUAGGCCAGAGCUGACGGCUGGUGGGUGCAGUCAGCCAGGCUCCAGGGAAGGCUGCUCCAGGCAGGGCUGAGUCUUCACGGUUCAGCUUUUAGAACUGGCCAGGUUGGAAUUCUGGCUGGGGGCAGACAGGGAGGGCAAACCACAAACACUUCUGCCUGAUCUGGCUGGGGAAUCCACAGAGACCACCAGCUGGGACUGGGGUGAGCCUCUCAGAGCCCCUAGCACCAGCCCAAGGCUGCAUGGGCUGACUGUGUGGGCGGAUGCUGCCUAAGUCAUGUGCAGAGCCGUCCUGAGCUGAGGCAGAACUAUAAGACAUGAACUCUGUUUUCAAGACAGGUGACAAUGACAAACAGCAAUAAAAGCCACACACCAUAGCUCAGGAUAACAAGGGCUGAGAUGCGUUUGGACAAUGAGAAGAAAAUAAAAAUUAAAAAAAACAGC
rnacentral:lncRNA from 1 species